rnacentral:rRNA from 1 species
GGAGCUUGCUCCUGGAUUCAGCGGCGGACGGGUGAGUAAUGCCUAGGAAUCUGCCUGGUAGUGGGGGACAACGUUUCGAAAGGAACGCUAAUACCGCAUACGUCCUACGGGAGAAAGCAGGGGACCUUCGGGCCUUGCGCUAUCAGAUGAGCCUAGGUCGGAUUAGCUAGUUGGUGAGGUAAUGGCUCACCAAGGCGACGAUCCGUAACUGGUCUGAGAGGAUGAUCAGUCACACUGGAACUGAGACACGGUCCAGACUCCUACGGGAGGCAGCAGUGGGGAAUAUUGGACAAUGGGCGAAAGCCUGAUCCAGCCAUGCCGCGUGUGUGAAGAAGGUCUUCGGAUUGUAAAGCACUUUAAGUUGGGAGGAAGGGUUGUAGAUUAAUACUCUGCAAUUUUGACGUUACCGACAGAAUAAGCACCGGCUAACUCUGUGCCAGCAGCCGCGGUAAUACAGAGGGUGCAAGCGUUAAUCGGAAUUACUGGGCGUAAAGCGCGCGUAGGUGGUUUGUUAAGUUGGAUGUGAAAUCCCCGGGCUCAACCUGGGAACUGCAUCCAAAACUGGCAAGCUAGAGUAUGGUAGAGGGGUGGUGGAAUUUCCUGUGUAGCGGUGAAAUGCGUAGAUAUAGGAAGGAACACCAGUGGCGAAAGCGACCACCUGGACUGAUACUGACACUGAGGUGCGAAAGCGUGGGGAGCAAACAGGAUUAGAUAC